CAGGUCUUGACAUCCCCCUGACCGGUCCGUAACGGGAUCUUUCCUUCGGGACAGAGGAGACAGGUGGUGCAUGGUUGUCGCCAGCUCGUGUCGUGAGAUGUUGGGUUAAGUCCCGCAACGAGCGCAACCCCUAUCUUUAGUAGCCAGCAGGUAAAGCUGGGCACUCUAGAGAGACUGCCAGGGAUAACCUGGAGGAAGGCGGGGAUGACGUCAAAUCAUCAUGCCCCUUAUGAUCUGGGCUACACACGUGCUACAAUGGUGACUACAAAGGGAAGCAGCCUCGUGAGAGUGAGCAAAUCCCAAAAAGGUCAUCUCAGUUCGGAUUGUAGUCUGCAACUCGACUACAUGAAGCUGGAAUCGCUAGUAAUCGCGAAUCAGAAUGUCGUGGUGAAUACGUUCCC
rnacentral:rRNA from 1 species